UUUUUUUUUUUAAGGUAAAGGCUUGUAGCUGAAUGAGGGGGGAAAGAGGGAAGGAGGAAAGGAGGGAGGAGAGAGAGAGCUUGAGAGCUGGGGAGGAGGAGAGAGAGGAAAAAGAGAGCCAUUGCAUUCUAUCACCAGGUGGCAAAUGACAAAUUCAGGAGAGGACUAUCCUUGGUAAAGCUAGCCGAGGCAGCACACCAACUUUGUUUUUGGUCCAGCCUGCUCUAUUUUGUGCGUAUCAGUGGCUUCCGACUGGUCUGAAUCAAAAGCUAUCUCCAAGAUGUGCUUGGAGGUGCAGAUUUCUCUUUAUUACCUAUUCCGGACCCAUAUCCAGUAGAAAAAUGCCUUCGAAGGCAUUUGCCUCAGCUCUGGGGCCUGUUUUAUUUGGAGAACAAUUGGAAAUGAUGAGCAGCUUUAAAUGUGAAUUCUACUUGGCAGCUGCCUGACUGAGGCGGGACGGGAUGCAUAUCCCAUAUGUGCACCCACGUGCAGGGAGAAGUGCAGGCCUGGGCGCAGGCGGUCAGCAAGGCAGCCAUGCUACUGGGUUUCUCGAUUAUUUUCCUCCUAGGAAUCUGCGUUUUCCAACCAAUCGCUCCUGGAUGGACUUCCAGCAACGCUCAUCCUGGAAGAUUAGUUCCAAAUUCUGCAGCCUACAGUGAAACAUUUGAAUGUUCUCCGCUGAAACUAGUUCUAUUUGACUUAAAAGAACACAGACCAUGGUGCCUGGAGGCUCCUCGUCAUGAGUGGUGGAAAAUUUAUUCCAAAGCUCCAUUUCUCAUUUUUUAAAAAUGUUAAGCUAAAGAGACAUACAUUUUCCUGACAACACAGAACAGAAAAAGGCAGCGGUUACCCCAGCAUUAACUUUCAGAUCAUAUCCAAAAGGUAAAUAAAGCAUAAAUUAACCAAUUACAAUAAAAUACCGGAUAAAUGCCUUUGACAACUUUGAAUUUCCCAGGAAAAUGCUUCCAGCUGUGACCCCUGACUUGCAAAGCAUGGGCUGUACAGGCCUCAACUUGUUUAUAAAGGAUGGAUCUGGGUCUCCAUCUUCAUCCUUGAUGGGGUCUCUUCCUUUCACUUGAAUGGAAUUGGAUAGAAGCAAACUGUUUUAAAAGUCACUGACAAGCAGAGAUAAGCCUGGAUAUUCCCAAGACUUCCCAUUACUACACAUCAAGCUGCUUUUUAGAAAUUGAAAAUACACUCCUAAGGAUUGGGCCAAGAGAAUGCCAAAGUUAGGAGCCUUGAUCCAGUGAGAGGAGUGAGCCAUUGGACAGAGAAUGGGAGAUGGAAUGAGGUCUGCAGGGCAGAUGGACCCACAGCCUACUUUUGUAAAUAAAGUUUUAUUGGCACAGCCACACUUGUUUCUCUACAUAUUGUCUGUGCCUGCUUUCUCGCUAUGAUGGCAGAGUAGCUGUGAGAGACCACAUGGUCCACAAAGCUGAAAAUGUCUGCAGCUUACAAAAUAGGGAGCCAAGAUGGUACUGUCUGUGGUGGCUGGAGUAAGGAAAGCCAUGGAAGGUCAUAGUUUGGAGUUGCUCAGGUGGUCAGUGGAGAGUCUAAGGCAGUGAAGGCAAGUUGACAGAAGGCACAGGAUGGUGACGAGUGGUGCGACAUAGCUUCAAUCCUCACGCCACCUCACACUGGCUGUACUCGCUAUCUAUGCUGUGUAAAACUUUACCACAACUUAGUGGCUUAUGACAAUGUUUAUUAGCUCAAAGCUCUGCAGGUCAGAGUCUGGGCACAGUGUCACUGGGUUCUGUGCUUGGCAUCUCACCAAGCUGAAAUGAAAACCACGCUGUCAUCUGAGCUUAGGGACCUCUACUGAGGUCACACGGCUAUGUCAGAAUUCAGUCCCUUGAGGUUGUAGGACUGAGGUCCUUAUGUGGCUGCCAGCUGAAGACUAGCUUUAGGUCCCAGAGGCCACCUGGGUUUCCUUGCCAUGUGGCCCUAUCUUCAAGCCAGCAGUGGAAUAUUUCUCAAACAUCAAAUCUCCCUUGUCCCUUGAAUCUCUGACUUCCUGUCUCUGACCCCCAGACCCAGAUAUAAAGGGCUCCUGUGUUUAGGUCAGAACCCCACCCCCCAGAUAUCUCCCCAUCUUGAGGUCAAAUUAUUUAUUUAUUAUAUAUAAACCUUAAUUAUAUCAGCUCCACUCCCUCAUACCUCCACCCCCCCACCACAGAAUAGUGUUAAAUUGAAUGACUGGGAGAAGGUGUGUGUACCCAGGGGCUGGAAUCCUGGGGCCAUCUUGUAAUUCUGCCCACACUCUACCAUCCUGCAGAGCCACAAGCAAACAGGAAAUGCCUGAAGUGGGUAAACCUAAAAUCAACCAUAUCAGCCUGUCUUUUGGAGGUGUGGGGUACCCACCAGAGCUAAAAUCUAAAACUGGUCAAUCGAGGUUGGCUCCAGGGCCAGGAGCAGGGAGGUGAGGGGGAUGCGGCAAGGAGCUGUCAUUCACCCCUAGAACACUAUUCUACACUAUUUGAUUUUUUUAAAAUUAUGCACAUACAUUGCUUUGAUAGCAAUUUUUUAGAAGAGGGUAAAGAAGUCAAUCCCAUUGGAUUUCUUUCCUUAUGGGUUCUUAGCUCAGUUUUCUCAUUUACUGAAGUUACUACCAUCUACAACCAUCUUUACAUUGUGUUCUCCAACUUCCAGCAUCCCCUGUCUUCCUCAAGGGAAGGCAACUCGCCCACCUGCCCUUGACCCCAAACCUCCUCCAGCCCUUCCUGGGGCCUUACUCCAUCAGAUGAGCCUUCUCUACUUACCACCUACAAACUCCCUCUCAGCAUAUGCUCCCCUAGAAGCAGAGGCUGAGACCAGCAGGUGACCGGAACUGGUGUAUUUGGAAAGCGCCCCCAGGAAGCACUGGAUGGGGAGCAGAGAAAUGAGACAGGAUGCAGAGGCCAGCCCAUAAAGGAUUUCCAAGCUGGGGCAUCCUAGGAAGCCAUGUCCCCCAGAGCCAACCAAGGAGCGAGGAAGUCGGGACAUUCACCCACCAAACCCCAUCCGUUACUGGCUGAGGUGCAGCUGGGGCACCAGCUCUUUGGCUUGCCAUAUACACCUCAGUGGAUAAUUGUCCCAACGGUGGAGAAGGAAGCUCUCAGGCAGGAUAUCACAGGGGCCCACAGUCAAGUGCCAUCCAUGCAUGGACUUAAAAGCCCAAGAAAAUCCAGGUGGCGCCUACAAUAUCCACCAUCCUCUCCCUUGCCAUAAGCUCUCCCCUUGAACAAUGAUGGCCUAAGGAUUAGGGAGCACUGUACUGGUAUCCUGGGGCUGCCAUAACAAGUGACCACAAACUAUGGGGCUUGAGAUAAUAGCCUUUUAUUCCCUCACCGUUCUGGAGGCUAGAGGUCCAAAACCAAUGUGUCGGUAAGGCUGUGCUCCCUCUAGAGGCUGUAGGGGAGGAGCUGUUCCAUGACCCUCUCCAAGCUUGGUUGCCAACAGUCCUUGGACACCACACUUUGCCUCUACCUCUGGCUUCAUGUGGCCUCUCCCCUGUGUGUCAAUGUCCAGAUUUCCUUCUUUUCAUAAGGACAGCAGUCACUGGAUUGGAACCCACCUUAAUCCAGUAUGAUCUCAACUCGAUUACAUCUGCAGAGGUCCUGUUUCCAAGUAAGGUCAUAUUCACAGCUACCAGAGGUUGGGCCUUGAACAUAUCUUUUGAGAAACACAAUUCACAACAAACAAUGCACACUUUCUAUGGACCAGACUCUAUGAUAAGCACUUCAUCUGUUUAGAUCUCACACAACAUCUCUGAGGAAAGUACUGUUAUGAUCCCCAUCUUACAUAUGAAGCCCAGAGAGGUUAAAUAAUUUGCCCAGUAUCACACAGCUAGUUAGUGACAGAGCCAAAAAUCCAAAUCCCACCAUUAGCCUCCAGGUCUGAGCAGUGUAUACAGACUGCAUCUCCAGUACCCCCCAUCUGCCCUCUUCUUGACCCUGAAUCCCCUUUGAGCUGUUGUUUCAUCUUCCUUCUUUUUCACAUCCAAUCUUUCCAUUCGGUCAGCCCACAUACACUUGUUGAGCAUCUUCCAGGUACCAGAUCCUGGUGAGGAGCUGAGGGCACCCUGAGCAAAAACAGACACCUGCAUUUUUAUUAUGCAGUAUUUUAUGUUUCCCUCUAAACUGCCUUACGUUGCUUCGGAGAAUGGAGCAUACUGUCUAGAGGCAGGACAGAUGCUAAUCAAAUUCUUGCCCAGACAAGCAUAAAAUUGAGAAGGUGACAAGGGCUAUGAAGCCAAGAUGAGAAGUUAACCCAGUCGAGAAGGUCAAGAACAUGUGCAGAUGAUGAGCAGAUUGGAGAGGCAGGAGGGAAGGGCCCUCCAGGCAGAGGGAACAGCAGGUGCAAACAGGGUAGGAACUUAAAACAGCUCCUGCCCUAGAAAUAGAAACCACCAGGUAAUAAGAGAGAUACUCAGGAGAAGACCCUGGUGUAGGGUAGGGGUCAGCAAAUAUUUUCUGUAAAGGGCCAAGUAAGAAAUAUUUUAGGCUUUGUAGGUGAAUGGUCUCCCUGGAAACUAAUCUUUGCCAUUGCAGGGCAAAGCAGCCACAGACAAUAUGUAAAUGAAUGGGCAUGCC
rnacentral:lncRNA from 1 species